rnacentral:rRNA from 1 species
ACUUGUACCGACUGGAUGAGCAGCGAACGGGUGAGUAACGCGUGGGGAAUCUGCCUUUGAGCGGGGGACAACAUUUGGAAACGAAUGCUAAUACCGCAUAAAAACUUUAAACACAAGUUUUAAGUUUGAAAGAUGCAAUUGCAUCACUCAAAGAUGAUCCCGCGUUGUAUUAGCUAGUUGGUGAGGUAAAGGCUCACCAAGGCGAUGAUACAUAGCCGACCUGAGAGGGUGAUCGGCCACAUUGGGACUGAGACACGGCCCAAACUCCUACGGGAGGCAGCAGUAGGGAAUCUUCGGCAAUGGACGAAAGUCUGACCGAGCAACGCCGCGUGAGUGAAGAAGGUUUUCGGAUCGUAAAACUCUGUUGGUAGAGAAGAACGUUGGUGAGAGUGGAAAGCUCAUCAAGUGACGGUAACUACCCAGAAAGGGACGGCUAACUACGUGCCAGCAGCCGCGGUAAUACGUAGGUCCCGAGCGUUGUCCGGAUUUAUUGGGCGUAAAGCGAGCGCAGGUGGUUUAUUAAGUCUGGUGUAAAAGGCAGUGGCUCAACCAUUGUAUGCAUUGGAAACUGGUAGACUUGAGUGCAGGAGAGGAGAGUGGAAUUCCAUG